rnacentral:rRNA from 1 species
GUUCGAGCGUCAUUUCAACCUUUAAGCCUUAGUUGCUUAGUGUUGGGGGCCUACAGCGCUGUAGCCCCUGAAAGUUAGUGGCGGAGUCGGUAUCACGCUCUAGACGUAGUAAAUAUUUUAUCUCGCCUAUGGUUAUACCGGUCCCCUGCCGUAAAACACCCCAAUUUUUAAAGGUUGACCUCGGAUCAGGUAGGAAUACCCGCUGAACUUAAGCAUAUCAAUAAGCGGAGGAAAAGAAACCAACAGGGAUUGCCCUAGUAACGGCGAGUGAAGCGGCAACAGCUCAAAUUUGAAAUCUGGCCCUCGGGUCCGAGUUGUAAUUUGUAGAGGAUGCUUUUGGCGCGGUGCCUUCCGAGUUCCCUGGAACGGGACGCCUUAGAGGGUGAGAGCCCCGUACGGUUGGACACCAAGCCUCUGUAAAGCUCCUUCGACGAGUCGAGUAGUUUGGGAAUGCUGCUCUAAAUGGGAGGUAAAUUUCUUCUAAAGCUAAAUAUUGGCCAGAGACCGAUAGCGCACAAGUAGAGUGAUCGAAAGAUGAAAAGCACUUUGAAAAGAGGGUUAAAUAGCACGUGAAAUUGUUGAAAGGGAAGCGUUUGCGACCAGACCUUUUCCUGGCGGAUCAUCCGGUGUUCUCACCGGUGCACUUCGCCAGGUUGAGGCCAGCAUCGGUUUCUGUAGGGGGAUAAAAACUUAGGGAACGUAGCUCCCCCGGGAGUGUUAUAGCCCUCUGUAUAAUACCCUUAUAGGGAC